rnacentral:rRNA from 1 species
GACGAACGCUGGCGGCGUGCCUAAUACAUGCAAGUCGAACGCUUCUUUCCUCCCGAGUGCUUGCACUCAAUUGGAAAGAGGAGUGGCGGACGGGUGAGUAACACGUGGGUAACCUACCCAUCAGAGGGGGAUAACACUUGGAAACAGGUGCUAAUACCGCAUAACAGUUUAUGCCGCAUGGCAUAAGAGUGAAAGGCGCUUUCGGGUGUCGUUGAUGGAUGGACCCGCGGUGCAUUAGCUAGUUGGUGAGGUAACGGCGCACCAAGGCCACGAUGCAUAGCCGACCUGAGAGGGUGAUCGGCCACACUGGGACUGAGACACGGCCCAGACUCCUACGGGAGGCAGCAGUAGGGAAUCUUCGGCAAUGGACGAAAGUCUGACCGAGCAACGCCGCGUGAGUGAAGAAGGUGUUCGGAUCGUAAAACUCUGUUGUUAGAGAAGAACAAGGACGUUAGUAACUGAACGUCCCCUGACGGUAUCUAACCAGAAAGCCACGGCUAACUACGUG